rnacentral:rRNA from 1 species
CCUACGGGCGGCAGCAGUGGGGGAUAUUGCACAAUGGGGGGAACCCUGAUGCAGCGACGCCGCGUGGGUGAAGAAGCGCCUCGGCGCGUAAAGCCCUGUCAGCAGGGAAGAAAAUGACGGUACCUGAAGAAGAAGCCCCGGCUAACUACGUGCCAGCAGCCGCGGUAAUACGGAGGGGGCAAGCGUUAUCCGGAUUUACUGGGUGGAAAGGGGGCGCAGACGGGGCUGAAAGCCAGGAGUGAAAGCCCGGGGGCCAACCCCGGGACUGCUCUUGGAACUGCGGGGCUGGAGUGCAGGAGGGGCAGGCGGAAUUCCUGGUGUAGCGGUGAAAUGCAUAGAUAUCAGGAGGAACACCGGUGGCGAAGGCGGCCUGCUGGACUGCAACUGACGUUGAGGCCCGAAAGCGUGGGGAGCAAACAGGAUUAGAUACCCCAGUAGUC